GAUGAACGCUGGCGGCGUGCCUAAUACAUGCAAGUCGAGCGAACAGACGAGGAGCUUGCUCCUUUGACGUUAGCGGCGGACGGGUGAGUAACACGUAGGUAACCUACCUAUAAGACUGGGAUAACUUCGGGAGACCGGAGCUAAUACCGGAUAAUAUUUCGAACCGCAUGGUUCGAUAGUGAAAGAUGGCUUUGCUAUCACUUAUAGAUGGACCUGCGCCGUAUUAGCUAGUUGGUAAGGUAACGGCUUACCAAGGCAACGAUACGUAGCCGACCUGAGAGGGUGAUCGGCCACACUGGAACUGAGACACGGUCCAGACUCCUACGGGAGGCAGCAGUAGGGAAUCUUCCGCAAUGGGCGAAAGCCUGACGGAGCAACGCCGCGUGAGUGAUGAAGGUCUUCGGAUCGUAAAACUCUGUUAUUAGGGAAGAACAAACGUGUAAGUAACUGUGCACGUCUUGACGGUACCUAUCAGAAAGCCACGGCUAACUACGUG
rnacentral:rRNA from 1 species